rfam:Ixodes scapularis strain Wikel colony gcontig_1108378245168, whole genome shotgun sequence.
GGUGGAGUGGUGUCGUGGUUAGCACACCCGAUCGGACAUUGGGAGGCCAGGGUUCAAAUCCUGGCCCCGCCG